UCCUGGUUAACCCAGGCAGUCUCACUAGAGUUCCCGCCAUAACGCGCUGGCAACUAGUGAUAAGGGUUGCGCUCGUUGCGGGACUUAACCCAACACCUCACGGCACGAGCUGACGACAGCCAUGCAGCACCUGUACAGAGGCCCUUGCGGGCUGAGAUAUUUCUACCUCAUUCCUCUGCAUGUCAAGUCUGGGUAAGGUUCUUCGCGUUGCAUCGAAUUAAACCACAUGCUCCACUGCUUGUGCGGGUCCCCGUCAAUUCUUUUGAGUUUCACCCUUGCGAGCGUACUUCCCAGGCGGUAUACUUAUCACGUUAGCUACGGCACAGCCGGGGUUGAGUCCAGCUACACCAAGUAUACAUAGUUUACAGCAAGGACUAC
rnacentral:misc_RNA from 1 species